UAAAGUCCCCUCCAAUAACUACCUUCUCAGACUGGGGAAUCCUCUCCACCAGAUCAUCCAAGAGAAGGGAGAGGAAGGGCCCUGUAGCAUGUGGAGGAAACAUGAAUGUUCAGAGAACAUGACUAUACAAUGUAAUUCCGUUACCAACUUAUGGACAGAAAUUAAGUUGUGUGUGAAAGAAAGAAUUAACAGUACAUUAUGAAGAACAAUAGAAGAAGUCAAUUGGAAGGAGCCUGUGCAAGUUACUUUUACUUUGUAACCAUUAGGAAGAGUCACAAGAUAAGGAACAGAUAAAGGUGUAAGGUUAAAAAGUAGUUGUUUGUUAUAGGUCAUAUGAUUAGAUGCACCAGAAUCUAUUNNNN
rnacentral:lncRNA from 1 species